rnacentral:rRNA from 1 species
UACGUAGGCAGCGAGCGUUGUUCGGAAUUACUGGGCGUAAAGCGUGCGCAGGCGGUUGUGCAAGACCGAUGUGAAAUCCCCCGGGCUUAACCUGGGGAAUGGCAUUGGUGACUGCACGGCUAGAGUGUGUCAGAGGGGGGUAGAAUUCCACGUGUAGCAGUGAAAUGCGUAGAGAUGUGGAGGAAUACCGAUGGCGAAGGCAGCCCCCCUGGGAUAACACUGACGCUCAUGGCACGAAAGCGUGGGGAGCAAACAGG